rnacentral:rRNA from 1 species
AGUGAACGCUGGCGGUAGGCCUAACACAUGCAAGUCGAACGGCAGCACAGUAAGAGCUUGCUCUUACGGGUGGCGAGUGGCGGACGGGUGAGGAAUACAUCGGAAUCUACUUUUUCGUGGGGGAUAACGUAGGGAAACUUACGCUAAUACCGCAUACGACCUACGGGUGAAAGCAGGGGAUCUUCGGACCUUGCGCGAUUGAAUGAGCCGAUGUCGGAUUAGCUAGUUGGCGGGGUAAAGGCCCACCAAGGCGACGAUCCGUAGCUGGUCUGAGAGGAUGAUCAGCCACACGGGAACUGAGACACGGUCCAGACUCCGACGGGAGGCAGCAGUGGGGAAUAUUGGACAAUGGGCGCAAGCCUGAUCCAGCCAUACCGCGUGGGUGAAGAAGGCCUUCGGGUUGUAAAGCCCUUUUGUUGGGAAAGAAAAGCAGCAGGUUAAUACCCCGCUGUUCUGACGGUACCCAAAGAAUAAGCACCGGCUAACUUCGUG